AUUGCCAAAGGCAAAGGGGAGGUGCACUAACGAAUAAAGAAGGUUAUUGUGACAGAUGAAACAUAAUUCACAAUGAAUACUCUUUUCAUUCAGACUUAACAUGGAAGAGGAUUAGUCCAAGCUGAAUUUUAGGAGAAAAAGUAGACUUCAUUCCAAUAAUAAAAGGACAUGCCAGAAACUGGAAAACUACUGUAAAUGCAAACAGGAUUUUGCUCAUGAUUUUGGAUUGUUUCAUAUCAGAAGAAAUAUUAAACUAAGGAAAGUUGAAGAUAAAUAGCCAAUAGAAACCAAAAUGAUAUGUGAUUUUUUUUUCUAGACAGGAUCAUGAUGAAUGCUUAUACUAUGUUUCUUCUUCAUUUGACAGAGAUUUAAUUAAUGAAAAAUGUUUGUUUUUCUUCAGUAAAUGCGUUCUUUGAAAGAAUAUUCUACUGAGCACAAUUAUACUUCAGAAAGACCUAUUCUGCUAUGAAACUGUUUCGUUGUGAAAUUGAAGCAGAAAUACCAAGGCUGUAAGCUGUGUUUGCUUGCCACUGCUUUCCUCGUCCUGCUGUUUUUCUUUCUUUCUUUCUUUUUUCUAAGAGCUCUUGAGCUGAUUUGUUUUCCUAUUGCCGAUCUGCCAGCAACAGCAUUCAGCGAGCCUCGAAGGUUUCAUUUUGGGCUUUUGGUUUGGGUGGAUGGGAGUGGGGAAGAGAAUGGGUUAUAAAUGUUAUAUGCAAACAGCCUAAAGCAAACAAACAAGCAGAAUAUAUAUAAUACAGAUUGCUGGUAGGGAAGAUGAGAAAACUUGUAGUAAAGGAAGAACUGUAAUCCACAUACAGGUCCUGUUUCACUGAAUGGGUAAUUAAAGGAUGAAAUGUCUUCCAUUUAUAGUUGUCAAGAUAUUUAAUUUAACCAAGGAUAUUAAGGCAAUUAGCAACAUCACUAAGUUACCAAAGAUCAAAUGGUAGCAAUAUUAAAAAUUAAACUUGUUCUACAAAUUUAAAUAUAUUUCUCUAAGUAAUAUUCUUAUUUGAUACAGCUGGGGUUUAAUAAAUUCUGAUAUCAAUUUCUGAUUACUUACUUAUUUAUUUAUGUAGCCCAAAAAAGUUAUUGGUGCUAGGAUAAAAUCCAAGCUAAUCCAAUACCUCAAUGGCAGAAAUGCUAGUGAAAGAAAUAGCACAAUUAGUACAAGAAAAAAUCUAUUCAACUAAGCGUAAAUUGUGAAAAUGUACAGAAUCAAAGUGACAAAAUGUUGUCCUAACACAAUAUGACUAUUAUUGAAUAGUUUUGCUCUGCUGUUUAGCUUAGGAUGUUUCAAACAUAAAUGACUAUGUUUAUGUGUCAAAUAUAAAUGACUAUUAAUAUGCAUUAGGAAACUGAUAAUCAUAUUACACAAACAGUUUGCACUAUAAAUUAUUUUAAAAAUCAUGUUUUGCCUUCCUUUUUCCUUCCUUCUAUGCAUGAAAUGCUAUGAAUAAACAAUAAUUCUUGAAUAUUUUGUCAGCAUAAGCUGUGGUAGUUAUCUUCCCCAGUUCUGCAAUGCUGCCUCAUUGUGUCAGGGGUAUUAUUAGAAAUAAAUGAGUAAACAACACCAAGAUUGUAUUUUAAGACAGUUCUUCCAGUAGGGUGACCUAAGGCAUGAAGAUCACCUAAGCUUUUCAGCUAAAGCAACCAAGUGGCUAUAUCAGGCAGCAUCAAUUCUGGAGAAAGAUUUACCAGUUUCUGCCACUUCAAGGUAUACCAAGCAAAGGACAGACAAUAUUGGAAUUGCAGGAAUGCUACU